UGCAUUGUAUAUGUUGUUGCAGAAAAGGUAUCUAGUGUAAAUGUAGAGGCAGAAGACACCGGUAAUAACUGGAUAUAUAGAUAAAUACUGGAUAGCAUAUACAAAAUCUACCUAGAGAGAAACAAAACUAGAGGGAAAAAGAUAAAGACGCAGUAGACUUGACAGACCACUAAAUGUAUUCUCCUGUAUUCUGGUUAAGUAGUUGCCGGAGAGGAAUCUAGUGUACAUGUAGACAAAAACACAGAUCCAGUAGACCUGACAGACCACUAAAUAUAUUCUCCUGUAUUGUGGUUAUUCUGUUGCCGGAUAGGCCUCUAGUGUAAUUGUAGAGAAAAAAGACAAAG